rnacentral:sRNA from 1 species
UUUAGCAUUUUUGAGUUUGAAUCUCAUAUUAUUAACUUAACUCUUCAUUUCCAUAAAUUUUAACAAAUUAAUCCUUCAUUAUGUUAAGGAUUUUUGAGUUUUUGCUCUUCCAAAAAGGUUGUGGGGGUAAGGAUAUUCAAGGUUGAUUGAUAUAUGGCAUUGGUUUAAUGUUUAGAAACUUAUUUGAAUUUAAAUGAAGAAUAUUUGGUAACUCGACUAGUUUAAAAAAUGGGUUUGCCAGAAUAAUUAGGAAACUUAUGUUAGAAAUUAUUGUGAUAGGAGUUGUUGAGCCCGAGUACCGUAGAACGAACAAGAUCUGACGAAACAAGGCUUAGAAGCACACUUUUAUCAAGGUGUGAAAAUGAAAAGGGCUUAAAUUGUUAAAGAAGAGUGCAUAAAAGGCUUAUGUUUCUCCUACAUAUGUUUUAAUAUUUUGAGUAUUACUCUCAUUUUAGAAGUUCAAUUAACAUGAUUACUGAGCCAUUGGAACGCUAAGAGACAAGGCUAUAAUUUUCAUGCUUACUACUUUACCCAGUUCAACGUAAAUAAAGGCAAAAAUAGAGUCACAAUUUGAAGUAGUGAGAAAAGAAGACAAGACAGAACCUUGGGCACUUUGGCACCAUGAAGAUAAGGAGUGCACGAACACUAAAUAGAAAGCUCAGCACUGGGGAGUGGCGUCUACACGAUAUCUCAGAUAGAGAUAUAUAUGGACUUUUAUUUUGAGUAGGUUUUAGGGCCUAUUUAAGACCUCUUCAGAUCACUUAAAGGCAACAAUUAAGAUAGGUUUUCUCUUAAGAAAAAAAGCCAUCAAGCAAGCAAGAAAGUGAGGAAAAACUCUUGAAGAUUGAAGAUCAAAGACUCGACAAAAAUGAUAUGUGAUGGGCAAGGUGAAAUUGAGUUAUGAUAGCAUAAGUAUGAUGAUAGUGCCACUCGCACAUGCUGCAGAAAUUUAAAGACAACUUGAGCUGCAAAAGUCCAAUUGAUGUGAUUUUUUAUUCAUUGGAAAGCUAAGAGAAUAGAAUACAACUUUUGUAUUUACCACUUCACCUAGUUCAAAACAAAUUAAAGUGAAAAUCACAUCCGAUGAUGAUACAUAAGUGCAGACUGCAAACAAGGCAGCAUGGUGAUUAACGCUGCGGCGCUGAGACACUCAAGGCUAUGGUGCUGAUGGGACCACCAUCACAAUGCUAGAGAAUCAGGGUUGUGGUGUUGAGCAUGAUGAGUGCAUCGUACUAGAGGCCAAGAGCAUGGUGCCACGGCGCCAUAAAAAGAGCAUCGCGACGUUAUCAAAACUUGUCACGGAGCCGUGGCACCACCUCAGUUUCCAAAAUUAAAAUUUUGAUAGAAAAUUGGAAAGUAUGGCAUCUUGCACAUAUUCAUGAGUCUUUUUAAGAGCAUUCAGAAAGAGGAGACAGUAGUAGCUUUUUUGGGAAAUUGGAGCUACGAAUCAAUCAAGAAUUCAAGAGCAAUUGAGAGAGAUUAACAAUCAACCAAGCUUUGACAUUAGUUUAUUUCUCUCUUUUUGUGUUUUGAAUUCGUGACUAUAGUUCCUUGGAUAAUGUUUUAUUUAUAUAUUAUGAACUAAUUUGCUUAUUUAA